rnacentral:rRNA from 1 species
AUUGAACGCUGGCGGCAUGCCUUACACAUGCAAGUCGAACGGCAGCACGGGGCAACCUGGUGGCGAGUGGCGAACGGGUGAGUAAUGCAUCGGAACGUACCUUUCAGUGGGGGAUAACGUAGCGAAAGUUACGCUAAUACCGCAUAUUCUGUGAGCAGGAAAGCAGGGGAUCGCAAGACCUUGCGCUGAUUGAGCGGCCGAUGUCAGAUUAGCUAGUUGGUGAGGUAAAGGCUCACCAAGGCGACGAGCUGUAGCGGGUCUGAGAGGAUGAUCCGCCACACUGGAACUGGGACACGGUCGAGACUCCUACGGGAGGCAGCAGUGGGGAAUUUUGGACAAUGGGGGCAACCCUGAUCCAGCCAUGCCGCGUGAGUGAAGAAGGCCUUCGGGUUGUAAAGCUCUUUCGGCCGGGAAGAAAUCGCACGGGCUAAUACCCUGUGUGGGUGACGGUACCGGAAUAAGAAGCACCGGCUAACUACGUGCCAGCAGCCGCAGUAACAC